GAUCAGAUCAAGCUCAUUGAUCCCGCCCUGUAGUUGAGAUCGGUGCUCCUCGAGGCCGGUAAGAGCUCGGGGAGACGACGAGCCUCCAAGCACAACUCCAUCUCCUGGGCUCUCCCUCUCGACCUCACCAUCAAGAUGAUAAUGGAUUCAUAUGCCAACAAUGCGGACGUCUUAAGAGAAAAUAAGAGAUACGAGAGAUGGAAAGUAAAAUAAAAUCAUUGCAGGAAAAGACUCGUAUAUCUGCCGAGUCUGCAGGCUCUUAUAUCAGUAUCCUUCUUUCUUUGUCUUAAGCAUUACUGAUGUUAUUUUAGCAAUUGGAGGUUUUGAUUAUUGACAAUACUUUCCAUCGUUGUCAUCACUGGGAUUGACAGUGGUUGCUUAAUAUAAUAGCUUUUGUACUAUGGAAAGAGAAUUAAUUACAUAUUUUGAUAUUGAACAACUUGAUCUUUGACCAACUUUUGCUUACCAGGAAGUAAUAGCUCUGUAUAAGCAAUCGAGACACUCCAAAGGCAACUAUUUAAUCCUUGCUGCAUCUAUUUGAUCCUAACUUGGGAGGGGAUUAUGGAAGAUCUACAGACAAAAGACAUGGGGCGGGUUAAAGAAAACAUAGGGAAGAAAGUGAAAAAGAAGAUUAUGAAGAAGAAGCAAAAAUUCCAAUGA
rnacentral:lncRNA from 1 species